AUCUGGACAAUCUCAUCCUGUGCUUUGCCCUAAUGGCCGUAAAAGUUUAAAGCCUCAUCUCUCAAGCUGGUUAUGUACUACUUCGUAAGUAUGAUUGGUUUUUUGCAGAAUUAUGUUUUUAAUCACUGAUUUUCACUUUUUCUCUGAAGAGCAAUCAGAUUUAUGAUAGAUUUGUAUCGGCUCUGUUUAUGAGUCAGCAGCAGGUGCCCUUUUGAUGGUAACCCGUCUGCCGCGUAGAGCCUAUAUAAAUUGUGCUGGUUUGAAGAUCCAUGAAACCCAUUCUGGUUGUUUCAUGAUACAAUAAACUGGUCACAUUAUCUAUUGUAAUUUUCUUCUCGAAUACGGCAUUUUUUUCAGAUACGGUGGCUUUGUCUCUAAAUUCAAUGACAAGCUGACUUUUGCACGGUGCCUAUAGAGAGAGCUACUUAUCACGAUUGUAGGAAGUUGGAUUUCUCUUUGCUUUCCUUCAAAUUCAUAGUAGCAAUAUUUUCAUUUUCUAAUUAUUUUUCUCUCGGAAAAUGGAAUUCGAAAGGAAUAAUUACACGUGGGUAAAUUCUGGUAUCCAUUAGCACUCUUUAUAACUUGGAAUUCUUUUAUUCUUUUUUGCGUUGCAAUUUCAGUAUUUCAGUGGGAAAAAUUUGAUGCGUUGAUGAGAAGCUAACAUGUAAGGAGGCCUAACUUUGUGUUGGGUUCUUCAGUGAAAUCUACUCGUUACGCUUGGCUUCUGAGCAUCCAAGUUUUGCUGCUUCAAAUAUGAUUCUUUUGUAUUAAAAUAAUAAUUUUAAAAAUGCCUAAUUGCUAUUUUAUUGGUGGCUGGAUACUUGGAUUACAAAUAUAAUGAAAUGAACUGUUAGACUUGGGAAAACAGAGGAAGUAAUUCUCUGCAAGUGAAGGAAUUGGAGAAGAAGUAUUUUUUUUUUUUUUUUGGUUCAUCGGUAAAUUUGUAUUAUAUUGAUCAAAAAUUAUAUACAGGCACACCGGCAUAUCUGGGAUGUUAAUAUCCCGCCAGACGUGGACAAUUUAACCGGAAUCUGGCUUUCCGGACCGAGAACUAAUGGGAUCUCUUCUUGAACUUUCAACUCCAAUUGUGAAUAAAGAGAAUAUUGAUUAUGUUAUUUUUAGUGGAAUGAAUUUAGCGUAUUAGGCACACUGUUGCAACUCAUUAUAAUAAAUCAAAAAUCAAAAGUUGAAUUAUCAAAAGUUAAAGUCAAAAGGGACUAAAAGGAAAUAAUUCAUUUUAAUUGGACUUAAUUUAUUGUGACAAAUAUUUUGAAGGGUUAAGUUGGACAAAAUAAAAAUCUUGUAUAUAUUUAUAUAUUUUGAAAGUUUAGGGUUUAACGUUAUAUCAUAAGGG
rnacentral:lncRNA from 1 species